rnacentral:rRNA from 1 species
AGAGUUUGAUCCUGGCUCAGAGUGAACGCUGGCGGCGUGCCUAACACAUGCAAGUCGAACGAGAACGGGUAUUAGUUUACUAAUACUGUCAGCUAAGUGGCGCACGGGUGAGUAAUAUAUAGUUAAUCUGCCCCAAAGAAGAGAAUAAUUGUUGGAAACGACUUGUAAUGCUCUAUAUGCCUUUAUCACAUAAGUGAGCAAGGGAAAUAUUUAUAGCUUUGGGAUGAGACUGUACGGUAUCAGAUAGUUGGUGAGGUAAUGGCUCACCAAGUCUAUGACGCCUAACUGGUUUGAGAGGAUGAUCAGUCACACUGGAACUGAGACACGGUCCAGACUCCUACGGGAGGCAGCAGUGGGGAAUAUUGCACAAUGGAGGAAACUCUGAUGCAGCAACGCCGCGUGGAGGAUGACACAUUUCGGUGCGUAAACUCCUUUUAUAUAGGAAGAUAAUGACGGUACCUAAUGAAUAAGCACCGCUAACU